CCUACGAGAGGCAGCAGUGAGGAAUAUUGGUCAAUGGGCGCGAGCCUGAACCAGCCAAGUAGCGUGAAGGAUGACUGCCCUACGGGUUGUAAACUUCUUUUAUAAAGGAAUAAAGUGAGGCACGUGUGCCUUUUUGUAUGUACUUUAUGAAUAAGGAUCGGCUAACUCCGUGCCAGCAGCCGCGGUAAGACGGAGGAUCCGAGCGUUCUCCGGAUUUAUUGGGUGUAAAGAGAGUGUAGAUGGGUUGUUAAGUCAGUUGUGAAAGUUUGCGGCUCAACCGUAAAAUUGCAAUUGAUACUGGCAGUCUUGAGUACAGUUGAGGUAGGCGGAAUUCGUGGUGUAGCGGUGAAAUGCUUAGAUAUCACGAAGAACUCCGAUUGCGAAGGCAGCUUACUAAACUGCCACUGACAUUGAUGCUCGAAAGUGUGGGUAUCAAACAGGAUUAGAUACCCGAGUAGUC
rnacentral:rRNA from 1 species